UACGAAGGGGGCUAGCGUUGUUCGGAAUUACUGGGCGUAAAGCGCGCGCAGGCGGCUCUUCAAGUCAGGGGUGAAAGCCCAGAGCUCAACUCUGGAACUGCCUUUGAGACUGAAGAGCUUGAGUACGGGAGAGGUGAGUGGAAUUCCCAGUGUAGAGGUGAAAUUCGUAGAUAUUGGAAGAACACCGGUGGCGAAGGCGGCUCACUGGCCCGUUACUGACGCUCAGGCGCGACAGCGUGGGGAUCAAACAGG
rnacentral:rRNA from 1 species